CGUCUGGCGUCCGGUUGGUGACCAGCGGAGGGAUCAUUACAGAGUUGCAAAACUCCCUAAACCAUUGUGAACGUUACCUAAACCGUUGCUUCGGCGGGCGGCCCCGGGGUUUACCCCCCGGGCGCCCCUGGGCCCCACCGCGGGCGCCCGCCGGAGGUCACCAAACUCUUGAUAAUUUAUGGCCUCUCUGAGUCUUCUGUACUGAAUAAGUCAAAACUUUCAACAACGGAUCUCUUGGUUCUGGCAUCGAUGAAGAACGCAGCGAAAUGCGAUAAGUAAUGUGAAUUGCAGAAUUCAGUGAAUCAUCGAAUCUUUGAACGCACAUUGCGCCCGCCAGUAUUCUGGCGGGCAUGCCUGUUCGAGCGUCAUUUCAACCAUCAAGCCCCGGGCUUGUGUUGGGGACCUGCGGCUGCCGCAGGCCCUGAAAAGCAGUGGCGGGCUCGCUGUCACACCGAGCGUAGUAGCAUACAUCUCGCUCUGGGCGUGCUGCGGGUUCCGGCCGUUAAACCACCUUUUAACCCAAGGUUGACCUCGGAUCAGGUAGGAAGACCCGCUGAACUUAAGCAUAUCAAUAAGGCCGGAGGAAA
rnacentral:rRNA from 1 species